rnacentral:rRNA from 1 species
GGAAUCUUCCACAAUGGACGAAAGUCUGAUGGAGCAACGCCGCGUGAGUGAAGAAGGUUUUCGGAUCGUAAAGCUCUGUUGUUGGUGAAGAAGGAUAGAGGCAGUAACUGGUCUUUAUUUGACGGUAAUCAACCAGAAAGUCACGGCUAACUACGUGCCCG